CCUACGGGUGGCAGCAGUGGGGGAUAUUGCACAAUGGGGGAAACCCUGAUGCAGCGACGCCGCGUGGGUGAAGAAGUAUUUCGGUAUGUAAAGCCCUAUCAGCAGGGAAGAAAGAAGACGGUACCUGACUAAGAAGCCCCGGCUAACUACGUGCCAGCAGCCGCGGUAAUACGUAGGGGGCGAGCGUUAUCCGGAUUCACUGGGUGUAAAGGGAGCGUAGACGGCCGUGCAAGCCAGGAGUGAAAGCCCGGGGCCCAACCCCGGGACUGCUCUUGGAACUGUGCGGCUGGAGUGCGGGAGGGGCAGGCGGAAUUCCUGGUGGAGCGGUGAAAUGCGUAGAUAUCAGGAGGAACACCGGCGGCGAAGGCGGCCUGCUGGACCGCGACUGACGUUGAGGCUCGAAAGCGUGGGGAGCGAACAGGAUUAGAUACCCCAGUAGUC
rnacentral:rRNA from 1 species